UAAGCAUAUCACUAAGCGGAGGAAAAGAAACUAACUAGGAUUCCCCUAGUAAUGGCGAAUGAAGCGGGAAGAGCUCAGCACCGAAUCCCGCAGCCUUGCGCUGCAGGGAACUGUGGUGUUUGGGACGUCUAUUGGCGCGAUGUCCGGGUGCCUAGGUCCUCCUGAUCGGGGCCUCUCCCAGAGCGGGUGUCAGGCCUUUACCGGCACCUGGCGUCGUGCCUCAGAGCGUCCUCGGAGUCGGGUUGUUUGAGAAUGCAGCCCAAAGCGGGUGGUAAACUCCAUCUAAGGCUAAAUACCGGCACGAGU
rnacentral:rRNA from 1 species